CCAGCGGGAUAAUGGUUCACUGCUUACAUUUUUCUUUGAAGAAUGCCUCGAAGAAAAUUCUAUGUACAAUUCUUCGAUACCAGGUAAUGCAUAAAAUUAAGCUAUGCGGAAUAAUGGUUUCUCGCUUACAUUUUUCUUUGAAGAAUACUUCGAAGAAAAUUCUAUGUAGAAUUCUUCGAUACCAGGUAAUGCAUAAAAGUAAGCUAUGCGGCUAAAUUCUACUGUGUUCAUAUUUACAAGUCAAGUAAGUACGUGAAAAACGACAAAUACAAAUUGGUGGAAUAAAAUUCAUAAGUAAAUUUUUUCAUUAUUUCGUCAAAUCAUCAAGCAAAAAGUUGGUUACUCUUUGAAUGUGUGAAAGUUAAAGGCUUCACCGAAUCGGAGUAUAUUCACCAAAUUCAAAAAAGUAUCAAGCUCGCCAAAGGCCGUUUCUUCAAGUCUCGUUGCUUGGAGAAAAACGAAAAGCGACUCAGCCACAAAAAUAAAAGAAAAUAAUAAUGGCUAAAUGAGUAGUGACCAACAUCUCCGCUUUGGCAGCAUCCCGGUUCCUUCCGCUAGUUACCCGUCUGUAUAUAUGUAUAUUUAACGUUUUUUAAAACCUGCUGUUUUCAACCUUUGAUUAUUUUAUAUAUUCAUACAUAUGUAUAUAAUGUGUAUUUAACGUUUUUAAACUAUUUCAAUUUGUAAUAUUUCAGUUCAGUUAAACACAUUUUGUUAUAACAAUUUUUAAGUGCAUUUCGCAUAAAAUAAAACCUUUAUAACGAUUGUAUUGAA